rnacentral:ncRNA from 1 species
AAAAAGGCCAUGAAAAAGAGGAGUAGAUGAUUUAUCUUUCAAAGUGAGCUAGUGAUAGUGAGAAACUAGUAAACCCUGAAUCAUUGAAAAACACUUUUUAGCAGCUCGCCGAAAUAGUAAAUCCUAUAGUAAGCCGAGACGUCAACGGUACGUUAUCAAGCCGCGAAAGCAUUAUUUGUGCUUGAUUUUUUAAGUAGGUCUUUAAUUAGACAAUUUAGGUGGUACCGCGGAGAAGAAAGUCUUUCGUCCUGAUU